rnacentral:rRNA from 1 species
CCUACGGGUGGCAGCAGUGGGGAAUAUUGCACAAUGGGGGAAACCCUGAUGCAGCGACGCCGCGUGAGUGAAGAAGUAUUUCGGUACGGUAAGCUCUAUCAGCAGGGGAGAAAAUGACGGUACUUGACUAAGAAGCCCCGGCGAACUACAUGCCAGCAGCCGCGGUAAUACGUAGGGGGCAAGCGUUAUCCGGAUUUACGGGGUGUAAAGGGAGCGUAGGCGGCAGCGCAAGUCUGGAGUGAAAGCCCAUGGCUUAACCAUGGAACUGCGUUGGAAACUGGGGAGCUAGAGUGCAGGAGAGGUAAGCGGAAUUCCGAGUGUAGCGGUGAAAUGCGUAGAUAUUAGGAGGAACACCAGUGGCGAAGGCGGCUUACUGGACUGUAACUGACGCUGAGGCUCGAAAGCGUGGGGAGCGAACAGGAUUAGAUACCCCGGUAGUC